ACAUUGAGCGUGUGAACAUCGCCUUCAACUAUGACAUGCCAGAGGACUCGGACACCUACUUGCACCGGGUGGCCAGAGCAGGCCGGUUUGGCACCAAGGGCUUGGCCAUCACAUUUGUGUCAGAUGAGAAUGAUGCUAAGAUCCUCAAUGACGUGCAGGACCGCUUUGAGGUCAACAUCAGUGAGCUCCCCGAUGAGAUCGACAUCUCCUACAUUGAACAGACACGGUAGAGGAGAGGAAUGACCCGCUCUGGACUGUGGCCGUCUGUCUCAUCAGAAGAAGAUACCAGGGAUCAGGGUGGAGACGGCCCUGCCCCCGGCCCCUGCCAGCCCUCAUCUUGUCCUGUCCAUGCUUCCCUCUGCAUCACCACCACUCCCAAACCUGUUCCUGAUUUAUCAUGUUUGUUUGUUUGU